rnacentral:rRNA from 1 species
AUUGAACGCUAGCGGGAUGCUUUACACAUGCAAGUCGAACGAGUGGCGGACGGGUGAGUAAUAUAUCGGAACGUGACCAGUAGCGGGGGAUAACUACUCGAAAGAGUGGAUAAUACCGCAUACUAUAGGAGCGGCCGAUAUCGGAUGAGGUAGUUGGGGGGGUAAAGGCUCACCAAGGCAACGAGCCGUAGCUGGUUUGAGAGGAAGACCAGCCACACUGGGACCGAGACACGGCCCAGACUCCUACGGGAGGCAGCAGUGGGGAAUUUUGGCCAAUGGGGGAAACCCUGAUCCAGCCAUCCCGCGUGUAUGAGAAGGCCUUCGGGUUGUAAAGUACUUUUGGCAGAGAAGCGGUAUCUGCAGAAUAAGCACCGGCUAACUACGUGCCAGCCGCCGCGGUAAUUC